rnacentral:rRNA from 1 species
CAGUCGCCGCGGUAAUACGUAGGGUGCAAGCGUUGUCCGGAUUUAUUGGGCGUAAAGAGCUCGUAGGCGGUUUGUCGCGUCGAAUGUGAAAGCCCGGGGCUUAACCCCGGGUCUGCAUUCGAUACGGGCAGACUAGAGUUCGGUAGGGGAGACUGGAAUUCCUGGUGUAGCGGUGAAAUGCGUAGAUAUUCGGAAGAACACCAGUGGCGAAGGCGGCUCACUGGACGCGUAUUGACGCUGAGGUGCGAAAGCGUGGGGAGCAAACAGGAUUAGAUACCCCAGUAGUCCCUGUCUCUUAUCC